GACAGAGGGUGCAAACGUUGUUCGGAAUUACUGGGCGUAAAGCGCGUGUAGGCGGCGGUGCAAGUCGGGUGUGAAAGCCCUGGGCUCAACCCAGGAAGUGCAUUCGAUACUGCGCCGCUAGAGUCCCGGAGAGGAUGGUGGAACUCUCGGUGUAGAGGUGAAAUUCGUAGAUAUCGAGAAGAACACCGGUGGCGAAGGCGGCCAAUCGUGGACGGUGACUGACGCUGAGACGCGAAAGCGUGGGGAGCAAA
rnacentral:rRNA from 1 species